rnacentral:rRNA from 1 species
AGAGUUUGAUCCUGGCUCAGAAUCAACGCUGGCGGCGUGCCUAACACAUGCAAGUCGAACGCGGUUACCUCGCAAGGGGUAACUGAGUGGCGAACGGGUGAGUAACACGUGGGUGACCUACCUUCGAGUGGGGGAUAACGUCCCGAAAGGGACGCUAAUACCGCAUAACAUCCUGCCUUUGAAUAGGUGGAGAUCAAAGCCGGGGAUCGCAAGACCUGGCGCUUGAUGAGGGGCCCGCGCCUGAUUAGCUAGUUGGUGGGGUAAUGGCUCACCAAGGCGACGAUCAGUAUCCGGCCUGAGAGGGCGGACGGACACACUGGGACUGAGACACGGCCCAGACUCCUACGGGAGGCAGCAGUGGGGAAUUGUUCGCAAUGGGCGCAAGCCUGACGACGCAACGCCGCGUGGAGGAUGAAGGUCUUCGGAUUGUAAACUCCUGUUGCUCGGGACGAAAAGCUUCGACCUAACACGUCGAAGUCUGACGGUACCGAGUGAGGAAGCCCCGGCUAACUCUGUGCCAGCAGCCGCGGUAAUACAGAGGGGGCAAGCGUUGUUCGGAAUUACUGGGCGUAAAGGGCGCGUAGGCGGCCUGCUAAGUCGAACGUGAAAUCCCUGGGCUCAACCCAGGAACUGCGUCCGAUACUGGUUGGCUUGAAUCCGGGAGAGGGAUGUGGAAUUCCAGGUGUAGCGGUGAAAUGCGUAGAUAUCUGGAGGAACACCGGUGGCGAAGGCGACAUCCUGGACCGGUAUUGACGCUGAGGCGCGAAAGCCAGGGGAGCAAACGGGAUUAGAUACCCCGGUAGUCCUGGCCCUAAACGAUGAAUGCUUGGUGUGGCGGGUAUCGAUCCCUGCCGUGCCGAAGCUAACGCAUUAAGCAUUCCGCCUGGGGAGUACGGUCGCAAGGCUGAAACUUAAAGGAAUUGACGG